ensembl:lncRNA
AGGACAGAGGGAUGGAUAGAGGGAGGAAUGGAUGUAAGGAGGAAUGGAUGGAGGGAGGGAUGGAUGGAUGUAAGGAGAGGUGGGUGGAUGGAGGGAGGGAGGGAGGGAGGGAGGAAUAGAGGGAGGGAGGGAUGGAUGGAUGCAUGGAAGGAUGGAUGAAUGGAGGGAUGGACAGAUGGAUGGGGGUAUGGAUGGAUGGAUGGACAGACGGAUGGACGGACGGAGGGACGGCAGGAUGGAGAUACAGACGGCCACCCAUACAGCCGGUGCUGAGGACGCAGGCCGUGGUGUCCCCUGCACACACAGCGCUGCUCUGCCCCCCCUCCCAUCCCCCCCCCCCAGCUGACAGCAGCUCCUCGCUAAUUACCGCCCCUUUAAUCCAAUCAAGGCUCCCUCGACCCGCCGAGGCCGAGGCAGCCCUUAAUUACCUCAUCUUUCCUAUCGGCCUAACGAGGGGCAACGGGAAGGAAACACUUCUGGGAUCUCUGUCUGCUCCCAGAUGUCGUUUGGCUCCGCGUUGCUGACACUUGUUGUGCACGCACGGGGCCGUUUGCACGGGGCUGUUUGCACGGAGCACUUUGCACGGAGCACUUUGCACAGGGCUGUUUGCACGGGGUUGUUUGCAUGCAGCUGUUUGCACGGAGCUGUCGUUUAAAUGGAGCUGUUUGCACAGAGCAGCAUGCACAGGGCUGUUGCACGGAGCUGUUUGCACGGAUAGCAUGCACACAGCUGUUGCACGGAGCAGUUUGCACAGGGCCACUUACACAGGCCUGUUGCACGGGGCUGUUGCACAGGCAGCAUGCAUGGGGCUGCUGCACAAGGCUGUCUGCACAAGGCUGCUGUUUGCACGGGGCUGUUGCACGGGGGUGCUGUUUGCACGGGGUCAUUUGCACGAGGCUGCUGUUUGCACAAGGCCGUUUGCACAAGGCUGCUGUACAAGGCUGCUGUUUGCACAGGGCUGUUGCACAGUGCUGCUGUUUGCACAGGGUCGUUUGCACAAGGCUGUUUGCUCAGGGCCAUUUGCACAAAGCUGCCCUUUGCACAAGGCUGUUUGAACAAGGCUGCACAGAGCCAUUUGCACAAGGUUGCUGUUUUUGCACAGGGCUGCCGUUUGCACAAAGCCAUUUGCACAAGGCUGUUUGCACAGGGCUGUUUGCACAGGGCUGCCGUUUGCACAAGGCCGUUUGCACAAGGCUGCCGUUUGCACAACACCAUUUUGCACAAGGCUGCCUUUUGCAUGAGGCUGUUUGCACAGAGCCAUUUGCACAGCGCUGCCGUUUGCACGAGGCCGUUUGCACGAGGCUGCUGUUAGCACAGGGCCGUUUGCACGAGGCUGCCGUUUGCACGAGGCCGUUUGCACGCCGCCCCACGUCCCCAUGCCCGGAGUGGGGCCGCAGCCAAGCUCCCUUCCUGUUGACGUCCCGCUGUCAGCGCGGCUCAAGGACUUCCCGGCACGGAACAUCGCGGCCCCGCCGGCGUCCACCCCACCCCACAGCCCAUACAGGGGUCAUGGCCCCACGCAGCCCUAUAACCACAUCCUAUAUCCUAUAG